UNUGACUUGAGUGCAGAAGGGGAGAGUGGAAUUCCAUGUGUAGCGGUGAAAUGCGUAGAUAUAUGGAGGANCACCAGUGGCGAAAGCGGCUCUCUGGUCUGUCACUGACGCUGAGGCUCGAAAGCGUGGGUAGCGAACAGGAUUAGAUACCCUGGUAGUCCACGCCGUAAACGAUGAGUGCUAGGUGUUAGGCCCUUUCCGGGGCUUAGUGCCGGAGCUAACGCAAUAAGCACUCCGCCUGGGGAGUACGACCGCAAGGUUGAAACUCAAAGGAAUUGACGGGGGCCCGCACAAGCGGUGGAGCAUGUGGUUUAAUUCGAAGCAACGCGAAGAACCUUACCAGGUCUUGACAUCCCGAUGCUAUUCUUAGAGAUAGGAAGUUACUUCGGUACAUCGGAGACAGGUGGUGCAUGGUUGUCGUCAGCUCGUGUCGCGAGAUGUUGGGUUAAGUCCCGCAACGAGCGCAACCCUUAUUGUUAGUUGCCAUCAUUAAGUUGGGCACUCUAGCGAGACUGCCGGUAAUAAACCGGAGGAAGGUGGGGAUGACGUCAAAUCAUCAUGCCCCUUAUGACCUGGGCUACACACGCGCUACAAUGGUCGGUACAACGAGUUGCGAGCCGGUGACGGCAAGCUAAUCUCUGAAAGCCGAUCUCAGUUCGGAUUGGAGGCUGCAACUCGCCUCCAUGAAGUCGGAAUCGCUAGUAAUCGCGGAUCAGCACGCCGCGGUGAAUACGUUCCCGGGCCUUGUACACACCGCCCGUCACACCACGAGAGUUUGUAACACCCGAAGUCGGUGAGGUAACCUUUUAGGGGCCAGCCGCCUAAGGUNGGA
rnacentral:rRNA from 1 species